GAGACAGCAGUCGCCGCGGGAAUACGAAGGGUGCAAGCGUUAAUCGGAAUUACUGGGCGUAAAGCGUGCGUAGGCGGUGAGUUAAGUCUGCUGUGAAAUCCCCGGGCUCAACCUGGGAAUGGCAGUGGAUACUGGCUCGCUAGAGUGUGUCAGAGGAUGGUGGAAUUCCCGGUGUAGCGGUGAAAUGCGUAGAGAUCGGGAGGAACAUCAGUGGCGAAGGCGGCCAUCUGGGACAACACUGACGCUGAGGCACGAAAGCGUGGGGAGCAAACAGGAUUAGAUACCCCGGUAGUCCCUGUCUCUUAUAC
rnacentral:rRNA from 1 species